rnacentral:rRNA from 1 species
UACGUAGGGUGCGAGCGUUAAUCGGAAUUACUGGGCGUAAAGCGCGCGUAGGUGGUUUGUUAAGUUGGAUGUGAAAGCCCCGGGCUCAACCUGGGAACUGCAUCCAAAACUGGCAAGCUAGAGUACGGUAGAGGGUGGUGGAAUUUCCUGUGUAGCGGUGAAGUGCAUUGAGAUCGGAAAGAACACCAACGGCGAAAGCGCUCUGCUGGGCCGACACUGACACUGAGAGGCGAAAGCGAGGGGAGCAAAUGGG